rnacentral:rRNA from 1 species
UACAGAGGUCUCAAGCGUUGUUCGGAUUCAUUGGGCGUAAAGGGCGCGUAGGCGGCGGGGUAAGUCGGGUGUGAAAUCUCAGGGCUCAACCCUGAAACUGCACUCGAUACUGCUCUGCUUGAGGACUGGAGAGGAGACUGGAAUUCACGGUGUAGCAGUGAAAUGCGUAGAUAUCGUGAGGAAGACCAGUGGCGAAGGCGGGUCUCUGGACAGUUCCGUGACGCUG